rnacentral:rRNA from 1 species
UACGGAGGGUGCAAGCGUUAAUCGGAAUCACUGGGCGUAAAGCGCACGUAGGCGGCCUGAUCAGUCAGCUGUGAAAGCCCCGGGCUUAACCUGGGAAUGGCAGUUGAUACUGUUAGGCUUGAGUCUGUCAGAGGGGGGUGGAAUUCCAGGUGUAGCGGUGAAAUGCGUAGAGAUCUGGAGGAACACCAGUGGCGAAGGCGGCCCCCUGGGGCAAGACUGACGCUGAGGUGCGACAGCGUGGGGAG